rnacentral:rRNA from 1 species
AUUGAACGCUGGCGGCAGGCCUAACACAUGCAAGUCGAACGAGUGGCGGACGGGUGAGUAAUGUCUGGGAAACUGCCUGAUGGAGGGGGAUAACUACUGGAAACGGUAGCUAAUACCGCAUACCAUCGGAUGUGCCCAUAUGGGAUUAGCUAGUAGGUGGGGUAACGGCUCACCUAGGCGACGAUCCCUAGCUGGGCUGAGAGGAUGACCAGCCACACUUGAACUGAGACACGGUCCAGACUCCUACGGGAGGCAGAAGUGGGGAAUAUUGCACAAUGGGCGCAAGCCUGAUGCAGCCAUGCGGCGUGUAUGAAGAAGGCCUUCGGGUUGUAAAGUACUUUCAGCGGGGAGGCGUUACCCGCAGAAGAAGCACCGGCUAACUCCGUGCCAGCAGCCGCGGUAAUUC